CGGUGACGCGCUCCCGGCCACCCAGGCCGGCAUCCGCCUGCUCGGGCCAGAAACCCACGAAGCGCCACGGGCAGUCAGGUUUCGGGCCCGCCUGCAGCCGCGAGGCCCCGGCGGGCGCUGAAACGAAAGGCAGGUGAGGGAAGCAGCGCCAGGGGGCCGAGGCGCCGCGGGCCGCGAAGCCGGGCGAGGGCGCGCUGCGCCCCGAGACGAGCGCCCUGGGCUGGCUCAUCGGCGUCCCAGGUGGACGCGGCUCCAGCCGCAACGCCGCCCGGCCCGCCGUGCGCAGACCCGGGGCCCGGGCCCCCAGCUUCUGGCUGCCGGCCCGCUCUCCGCGUUCUCCGCGCACUCGGGCCCGCCUCUCGGCCGUUUUCGCUUUCGCUUUCUUGCCGAGAGCGUUGAGGAAAAUGAAAGUGGCAGUGUCCAGAGCCUGCGCGGCAGCCGUCGGGGCGAGGGGCGCACCGUGCGGGGUGGCCGGCCUGGAGCGGGCGAGCCGGAGCCUCAGCCCGCACCCGGCGAGAUGGCGGUAGGCCCUGGACUUCCCUGCACUGCAGGCAGUGAUGAGGCUAGGCAGCAGAGAAACAAGAAAAUGGACUCCCUCCUCCUGAAGACAAGAAUGCCAGCUACCAGCCAUGGCCAUAUCGUGCAGCAUGCGGAAUUUUAGUUCUCUUCACAUGUAUGUUAGAAAUUGCUAGUUGUUUUCCGAUUUCCAUCCCCACCCCCUUUCUUAGUAACAAAUCCAAUUUUUUAACUGACCUCUUUGCCACAUGACUGAAAGUCUGUGUUUCCUUGAAGCUUGGUAUGGCCAUGUGACCGAGCUCUGGCCAAUGAGAUGUAAUCAUUAUGUGGGAUUUCUAAUAAGUCCCCUUAAAAGGAGAAGAGAGUACUGUUCUACGCACCUUCCCUUUCUCCAUCCUGCCUCCUUAAAUGAGGACAUGUUGACUAGAGCUCUAGCAACCAGCAUGG
rnacentral:lncRNA from 1 species